UUCUUGUGUUGUUUUAUUUCUCAUUUUUUCUCUUUACAAAAGGGGCGGAGAUCUCGGGGUUUACGGGAAAGGGUCAUUUCUUUUUUCCCAACACUAAAUGGAGUGGAAUGAAUAUGAGGACUCAUAUAGCUGACCACAAUUAUUUUGAGAUUGAGACGUAAUUGAUUGGCAGUUCUUCUGCCCAUUGGUUCAAGAACUAUAAUGACAAACUGAUUUGUUGCCUGGAAGAUGUUCGCCAGAGACUCCAUUUUGUUAAAAAUAAAAACAAAUUAACUAGAGAGAAUUAUGGAUGAAAUAGUUAAAUCCGUAUUCUCAGAUAUUAAUGCCAAUUCUAAUGGUAGAACACAUAAUACACUAUUGUCCAUGUAGCUCAAGGUAUAGUUCGACCAUUUGCUUUUUUUCUCUGUCUACUAUUCUAAAUUUCUUGUAGCAAACUUAUUGGUAAAGAAAGUUUCACAGAAACUCAAGGGGAAAUUUUAUAGAGCUGUGGUUAGACCGGCCAUGUUGNNN
rnacentral:lncRNA from 1 species